GCGUGUGUGUGUGUGUGUGUGUGUGAGGGCGGGGCUGCAGUCAGAUGAAUAAGGCGCGGCAGAUCUCCUUCACACGUGCAGACAAAGCGCGCAUCAACACUCGCUGGAAAAGUUUCCCGGAGCCGCGAUAGAACUGGAGCCCAGAGCCGGUACCGGAGCCCGGAUCCGCAGGAGCAACAGGUACAGCAGCGGAUCCUUUGUUUCUGAACUUGGGAAACACACACGCUGGAGUUUCUUUGUUCUGCAGAAACACACGGAGGAGGACAGGAGGAGCUGCUGCACUGCAGAGCCGGCCGGUGUGGAUCCGACAUCUCGAGCUCUGGAGAACACAAGGCCCCCUUUAGGGAUUUAUUUCAUUAUUCCUCUACUGCUGGAUAUGUUACUGUGCCUCGGGAUUACUGGAAUAUUGAUGAGCAGAACGGCCGCAUCUCCGCGUCUGUCUGAAGGAACAGCUGUGUGUUCAGACUGAACAUCCAUCACUGCUGCACAGAGCCUGAAACCGGCCAAAUGAUAUAGAGGAGGGGAGGAAGGAGAAGAAGAAGCAGCAGCAGACCUCCAGAGGAGCCAGAACUACAGCAUCAGCAGCAGAACACCACCUACUGCUGCCCCAGAGACACACACACACAUAUACACACACACACACAUUUACACACACACUUGCUCACUCACACACAAAUACACUUUUUUACAGUGUAAACACACACACACACACACACACACACACACACACACAGCAUUACUCUUCCAGAUGAGGUGCGGUGACCUGCGACCUCUGACCUGAUGCUCAAAGCUGACCUCUGACCUGUACAGUGGUGGAGAGAGAGAGAGCAGCAGGUGAACCCUGCUGUAUUCAGACGCUCUCUGCUCCUCUGUUGAUCAGGAGUUUAGGUGAGAAGGUGAAAAGAAAGCACCCUGAGGCACCCUGAGGACCGAUCAGAGACAGAAACAGACUGUACUGUUGUGGAAAACAGGCUGUUUAUGAACUGCUCCAGGCAUCAUGAUGAUGAUUAAUCUCGUUUUGAAAGUAGUUAAUUAGUUUCCUCAUGUUUAAUAAAUACUGUGAUGUUUGAACUAUACUAGUAUAUAAUGUAAAGUGUGUUAUAUUGCAUUUGUUAUAUUAUUUAGUAAUGAAUGCUCCAUCAUACUGCAGUAUACUUUAGUUUUUACUUGUGAUUUAAUAUACCAUAAAACUGCAGUAUUGGGUCAUUUGCAGAAAGAAAAAUGCAGUUUUGGGUCAUUAGUAGACCCGGAUGGAAUCUGCAUGCAGAAAUGUGCCCUUUUCUGUAAUAAUUCACAGAAUUUCCUGAUGUAAAUGUGUGUAAAUCUAUAUUUAUUCAGUUUUUAAUGUCAGUGAUAUUCACAAUAUGCACAGUUUUAUAUAGUUUAUUUACAAUACAGUUUGUGAAAAGUAUAUACUUUAGUCUUUUAGUAGAUAUAUCAUAAGAGAGACUCGUGGAACACGUUGAUCUCAGUGGAUUUGCACUGUAAUUCUGAAAUUAAUGUAAAAUCUUAUAUUUUAUUUCAUGUUUUCACUUCUAAUACUCUCAAAAUAACCACACGAAUUUGCAGAUUUUAUUUGAACAAAUACCACAACAACCAGGUCUGGACAAUAUCGAUAUCGAUAUGGAUAUAUAUGUGUGUAUCUGCA